AGUGCAGCAAGUAGGACAUGUUGAUGUUGGGACAUCCCCAUUAAGGAAGGAUGUCUUGAUCACAUAGGCUAAUGACUGAGACCAAGAUUUUGUAUUUCCACUAAAGUUGCAACUCGAUCUUGUUUCUUACAGCUUCACUUUAUAUCCAUUACUCCAACUAAGAGAUUCAUGUCUGAAUCUAUCUGUUAUCAAAAGCUGAAAUGCUAAUUGCCUAGGUACUUCACUCAGUGCUGGUUCCGGAUGUCUCAAUGGUGUCAAUGUUGUACUUCAAAGGAGAUUAGCAAGGUCCAGUUAUCUGAAUACUUCAAUUUCAGUUGUUUCAGGCCUGUUAUUAUCCAAGUUUAGUAAACUUAAUUGCUCUAGAUUUUCAUUUAGUUUUAGUAUUUAAUUGAUUUAGUUAUAAUUAUUAGUUAUUUAAAUAUCAAUUUUAUCCAUUCUGCUACCGAAACAAAUCGAUAGUGAUCGACAGUGUUACAGAAAUCGGGAAUCGGACUUAAUCGAUUGCGCCACCGAUUUAGGAUUAAUCGAAAAUCGGAGAUUAAUUGGAAUUGGAAUGAAAAUUGAAUGUAUUUUAAUAUUAAAAUAUUAUUUAAUAUUUAGUUAUUAUUAUAUUAGUUAUUUAUUAACAAAUAUAUAUUAAUUAUAUCAUAAAUUUAAUAAUUGGUCAUAUUUAAGGCAUAUAGUAUUUUCAUUUUAAUAAAUUAUUAUAUAUAUUUGAUUGAGAAAAUUUAAUAAGGAUUAAUCAAAUUUUAAAAAUCGAAUCGGUCUGCCAUGAAUUAAUUGGGGAUUAAUCAGUUAAAUUGGGAAUUUCUAAAACACCGAUGAUCAGAUAGAAAUUUAUAGAUUCUGGACUUCUAUGGAUUUUACUAUGCCAUAAUAUUUUGCUCUUAAAAUUGGAAAGACAAUGUCUCUACGUUCUUCUCGUAAAUUUUGGUUUAUGUAUAGUUCGUCGUGAUUGUCAAUUUUUAGGUUAGAUCCACGUGAAUAGAAUGUACUGAUAAUGAAAUGAAUUUUGUAUCUUAACAUGUUGAUUGAUGAUAAAAAAAUGUUUAUUAUUUUUAUUAUUUCAAUCAUUCGAUUUGUAUUUCGAAAGAAUACUCAUUAGAUUUCUACAUUAUGUUUCUUUACGAUUUUUAUCGCAAGUAAUCUAAACUUAUUCAUAUUUAAUUAUUAUUAUAUCAUAUUUUCUUCAUUCUCUAUAGACCCUCUAUAUAAUUUUUCAUUUCAUUCUCCUCUUCUUCUAUUUCAUCCAAAUGAACACAACUUUAUAUCUUUAUGAAUCACAUCCAUCUGAAUGGUUAAGUUGACUGAUAAUAAAUAAAGGUCAGGUGAUUAUGAUCAAUUGAUUCUACCUUGUUUUGAUAAUAAGAUGUGAUUGGGAAUGUCAUCAUCAACCUUAAUCUUAACUUUUGUUUAGCAUGAUUUUUUAUUUGUUUUUAACUUGUGAAUUGUGAUUAUUAAAGUAAGUAUUAUAAUUACUAUCCAGUAUCGUCAUCAAUAGUACAGAAUGAUUACAGGAAUUUAACAGCAGAAGGUUUGCCACUGCGUCAUCACGGUGUCUGAACAGAGAUCGGACUCUAGACCGUAUCGGAAAGACCUAAAUUCACAAUUCAAUCUAUCUUUUAUAGAUAUGAGUCCGGUUCCCAACAAUCAUUUGUUGGGAUGUUUUAACAAUAUAAUAUUUUUCUGUAUUUUUAUGUUCUUCGAUAAUAUCUAAUCAUUACAAUUAUAAUAUUAUUUUAACACGUCCAACGUUUUUUAACAAUAUUAAAAUUGCGUCAAAAAAAUCAAAAGAAAAGAUAAUGGCCAGACGGGGUGAGAAGUAAUAUUGUCAUGGUACGGUUGUCACGUAUUAAAAUGUGUGCAGUGACCCCGUCUCUCAAUAUAUAAUGCUCACGAUUAAGAAUGAAUGAUUGUCCUUCUCCGAUCCUUACUCUCAAACCUAAGAGCGAACAGCUAAUGCGUUCGGGGUUCAUAGUUUAAAUUCAGAUCAUGCGUAUGACAUGAAAGCAAUAAGGACUUUGAGCCAGGCAAUUGAUUUCCACUAAAUAUUUUUCAAAGCAUUAUGCAUAAAUCUUUUGUUUAUAAUUAUAACCAUUCAGCCCUCGCAUUUCAUUGUUAUCAAACGCGAAUCAGAGUUGAAGCAGAAAUGGGUUCCAAAAUUUUGCUAUUGCUUGCUCUUUCCAUUGCUUUUACUUUUCUCAUCAGUUCACAAGUUGCAGCUCGAGAUUUAGCUGAAACUACUCUAAAGAGUAACAAGUCUAAGCUAUUUUCAUGUCUAUUUCUUUAUUCUCUACAAGAAUUGCAGGAAUUUUAAGUUGGCUAAUGCCUAGUUAACUACUAAUUAAUAUACUACCCGUGUCCUGCAGCUGAGACAGCCAGUUUAGACGGCAGCAGUUACUAUGCUGGAGGAGUUGGUGGAAGCCGGAGUCACCCUGCAGCAAGUGCCUACAGUAGAGGAGGCGGCAGCCACCACAAUGGAGACGGAGAAACCUAUAAAGCCAUCCCCAUAGGAGGUGGCUGCUACAACCGCUAUGAGUGCAACUGAAGCUCAAGCACUUGAGGCCACUAAAGUUAAGCCUCGUAACUUGACUCCAUGUAUGAUUACUACUCCCUCCCACCCGCCCAUCCAUCUUUUUACGUUUUAGGAAACGUGUGUAAGGUAAGGAAAAUAAAUAAAGUGGUGAAAUUAAUCAAUAUAUUGUAAAGUAUAAAAGAUUCGGGAAGUUGGAGGAAAGCACUAUUUUUACUGAUAUUUUGUCAUUGAGCAUUUUCAUGGGAUUUCAUCAUCAGCAUAUCAAGCUCCUAUUCGGAGCAUAACAUUUCCAUAUGAAAGCUACCAAUAUCCUCCCUUCCUAGCUUUGAAGCCACACUUAAGCUAUCGAGUGCACUACUACUAAAGAGAGGCGAGUAAGGUGCAAAACUCUACGGCAAUUGGCAAGUCCGCCUUUACCUAAUAAAUAAAUAAUAGGUACUAAUUCUUCAACUACUAUCUUUUACCAAGUCGUAACAAACUACAGUCACACAGAAGAGCUAGAUUUUCACUCGCUCGAAUUCUUGUAGAGUAUAAAAACAAACAUGCUUAAAACUUCACAGAUAUAGGAAGAAAGAGCAUUCCUGAUGAUUGCUCUUUAAAAAAGCAAGUUGGACAAAAUCCCAUGAAAUUAGACUUCCAAAGAGUUUCAUGUUAGAAACAUUCCAAAAGCAUAACACUUUGGGACAAAACCUACACAGUUUAGCUUAACAUGCAGCAUAACCAAGCCAGCUAUAGCCUCGGAAUUCCAUCUAACUCUACAUGAUAAAGAAACAGCAUAAAUAACCCUAUAGAUGGGAGAUACUGGCCGGCAUGGAAUGGACAAAAGUACCUUGAAAGUAUCUCCAUAUCUAUGUAUGUAUAAGUAGAUAUUAUAUUAGCAGAAAAUUGAUUUAGAAGUGCUGCAUGGUAGACUUAGUGCAUUGCAGAACGAGGAACACGUUGUUGCCUGACAGGCGUCUUUGAUGGGCUUACCCUGCAUAGAAAAUGUUCCAAAGCACCCCGAAUUAGAAUGGAAAAAAAUGAAGGGGGGAAUUGGGAGACUAGGAUAAGUGCAUGACUGACCUUAUUGGCAAUGAUCCCAAGAAGACACCACUACAGUUAAGGGCUGCAAUUGCACUCUCAGCCUGUAUGGGUUGAAAUGCAGUUAGUAUAAACUCUUUGCUGGAAAUAACAAGAAUGCACAGAUUAUAACGCAACACAUCAAAGAGAAGAGAAAAGUUGGGAUCUUUUAACACGUAAUUUAGUAAGAAAAUUGCUUAUUUAAGAAAGAUUUUCCACAAAAACAUGUACAUCACAAAAACUGUGAAAGCAUAGGCUCUUCACUAUCCAGAUGUGUUGCCGUAUGUAACACAGAUACCAAAUCAUUCUCGUUAAUGCAUUCGUGAAUGUCAUUGCUCAAGUAUUUAUACCAUGCAUAAAAAUAUAAGCAUAGAAAGGAUUAUCUGGUGGCAAGAUUUUUAUCAUGCUUUGUGCAGGUCACUGAACUUGAUUCGAAAUUAUUAUUACACCAAGUGUCCUAAUAAUUUGAUGCCCAAAAGUUGGAUGAAGAUAAGGAUAAAAGGAUGCAGAGGGGGUCUAAGACAACAAGGCCAGAAGAUUAACAACAAAGUUCAUAAUCAUGUAAUUUGUCAUAUUAAGAAGUUUAGCCGAGGAAAUUAAACUACAUAUGAUUCUACAGCAUAACAUACCAUAAUUAGGAAAAGUACAAAGGUAAUAUUUCUUAGAUUACUCCUCAGUUCCAUACCAGAACAAUAUACAUUAUAGCAUUUUGCAUAUAUACCUACCCACAAAAUAUAAAAUGAGAUUGCACACAUGAUAAAAUUUGGAGGAUGAAAUACAAGGACAGAAAAACCUUCUCUACUGGUAUUUACACACCAACGUUAACGCAUACGUUUGCUACAUUGAUUCUGAAAUGUUUAUUAAUAUAUUUUAGACAAAUAAAAAUUAAUAAAUCAUUAAUACAAUAUAGUCAAAUACUUUAUUGCAUUUUUAAAAUUUAGAACCUUUAUAAUUUUGCACAAGGAAAUUAUACUCAGGAACUUAUCAAAGAUUCACAUAAUUUUAUUGUCGAGUUAAUGAACCUUUAUACCUUCCUGAUAACUAAUAAUAUAGCAUAUUUACAGAAAUUCAACUGUAGAGUUUCACAUGAACACGAACUAUCUGAUGAUGAGGCUGUGAAUAAAUCACAUAAUCACAUUAGGGCUAAGUUGUUAUGCUUUUCAUUACUAAUACCAGGACCUGGCUGAAACAGGUAAAUCAGGUUCUGGGAUUAGUAAUGAAACGCAUAAUCACAUUAGGGCUAAGUUGUUAUGCUUUUCAUUACUAAUACCAGGACCUGGCUGAAACAGGUAAAUCAGGUUCUGGGAUUAGUAAUGAAACGCAUAAUCACAUUAGGGCUAAGUUGUUAUGCUUUUCAUUACUAAUACCAGGACCUGGCUGAAACAGGUAAAUCAGGUUCUGGGAUUAGUAAUGAAACGCAUAAUCACAUUAGGGCUAAGUUGUUAUGCUUUUCAUUACUAAUACCAGGACCUGGCUGAAACAGGUAAAUCAGGUUCUGGGAUUAGUAAUGAAACGCAUAAUCACAUUAGGGCUAAGUUGUUAUGCUUUUCAUUACUAAUACCAGGACCUGGCUGAAACAGGUAAAUCAGGUUCUGGGAUUAGUAAUGAAACGCAUAAUCACAUUAGGGCUAAGUUGUUAUGCUUUUCAUUACUAAUACCAGGACCUGGCUGAAACAGGUAAAUCAGGUUCUGGGAUUAGUAAUGAAACGCAUAAUCACAUUAGGGCUAAGUUGUUAUGCUUUUCAUUACUAAUACCAGAACCUGAUUUACCUGUUUCAGCCAGGUCCUCUGUAGUUUUUCAACUAAGUCAUUAUUUUGCAAAGCUAAUCCAGGCUUAUCAGUGCCCAAAUUUUUCUCUUUAUAGCUAAAGACCCUUUGAAAAAUAUUUAGGAAUUAACCCAAACUUAAUUACAAUAAAUAAAACCAGCCAUGCUGUACAUAGUAUUAUAGAUGAUUGAAGUGCCUUGCGGCUACACCCAAGACCUGACAGGAUGGUGUUUGCUUGUGGCCUUUGUUUAUGAGGUACCAUGGUCGAACGUACUCAUAUUUGUCUACCUGAUUAAUAGCUUCCAGAGUGUAAAAAAACGCUAAACUUAGCACUCCAGUUAAACUUCGUGUGCUCGCUAAUAAGAUGCGUCCUACUAAGAAUUCUUUUUCCAACACGGCCACAUCCUCACUCCCUCUUUAAAAAAAUAAAUUGCAAAUAUAGACCCUUCGCAUCCCAUCCAAAACAAAAGUGAAAUGGUGAAAGAUAAUCUAAUAGUCUAAUACUAAUUCCAAAAGUUUCCAUGAACUCAAAUUCCUCUCCAAAACUGAAUAAGGAUCCAAAUAUAACUCAAAAUAUAUNUUCCGCCAAAUAUACUUCAAAAAAAUUUGUUCAUAGUGCAGAAUUUUUCUUCAUCAGCCAAUUCUGUGAAGGCCUCUAAGUAUGCAAUUUUUUAUGAAGGGGUUUGAACUCGUGGCCUAGCUUUUUCUGGGGGUAUGAACCCAUGGCCUAAGUGUUUUGGAGGAUUGAAGCUAUAGCCUAGAGCUAGCUGUCCACACAGCCUUCAAAUUAUAUAUAUCAAUUAAGUAGGUUUGCCCGACUCCGCUAAAAGCAUCCAGGUAUUGGAUUCAUAAAAUAUGGAAAAAUUAAACAUGCUUUUGGGCAUAUAUGAGUGUUUAGUAUCCAUGCCCAAGAAUGAGUGUCAAGUGUCCUUGACAGAAACGGAAAUCAAACUAAAAGAGUCACACAAACAGAUGUACUACAUAGUAAAACCUCCUUAAAUUGAUAGCCUCGAGCCAUAGAAAUUUAUUAUUAAUUGAGACAAAUUAUACAUUCUCUGUUAUAGUCAGCAUCAUAUAAUGUAUCAGUCAAUACGGGUUAUCAUCCAAUUUGAGUACUAGUUUAUCUAGGCUUUAAGUUAUAUAAACCCUCCUUAUUAUCUCCUCCAGUGUGCCCAUCAAGUAUUUCAGAAACCUUGGUGUAAGUUGACUCCCUACCAAAUACUUUGCACACAACUAAUCCACCUACUUGCAGGAACCAUACGUGCAAGACAAAUUUAUGCAAGAUUUCAGGAGGCAUUUUUACUUACCAUCACAAACUCAACGAAUGCAAUACGAGUAGAAUGAUGAUAGUCACCAAGCAGCCUCAAGCGAAGAACCUAUAACAGACAGCAAAUUAUUUUGCAUAACUUAGUUAUAAAAUCGGAGCUAUUAUAACCUUUAGAUUUGUCAGUUAAGUCGCAUACCUCCCCACAGAAAGUUUCAAAAAAGAGUUUGACAUCUGCUUGAGUAAUCUGAAACAAACAAGCAUUAAAAGAGCUCAGAGAAAUGCUUUACAAAGAUUUUAACAAACUGAAUACGAAUAAAAGUUCUUCCAUGGCACCUUCUUAUCUAUAUUUGUGCAGUAAAUAGUCCUUGCGCACAUCUCCCUUUCAUCUUCAGACUACAAAAACAUUGCAAAAGGCAAUAAGAUACUAUGACUUUACUUCUCAACUAUUGAAGCAUUACAUAACUAUAGGAAGUAUUUAACCAUAUGAACUAAACCACUAACCCUUGGCAAAAAUGUAGGGUUAACAGGUGCAAUUGCAGUUUUCGAAGGCAGCACCCUGACAGGGUAAAAACCAAGCAUUGUCCCUUCCAGACUCAAAGCAUUUCUUGCACCGUCUGCAGAGAUGUCAGACGUAACAAAAUUUAAGACCACCCAAUUCAUCAGAAAUGUGUCAGAAAAAAAAAACUUAUCAGCUUACCCUCGUCAGUGAAUUCAACAAAGGCAAACCGGAGAAUAGAAUUUGGGUCGCCACAGACACGACAAUCAACAACCUUUGGUACAAAAAGAAUUUCAGGAGAAUAACUUAAACUAAUAUUCCUUCAUUAGCAUGCAUAGAAUUUACAACGAUUGAGAUUAAUAUGUCAAAUUUACCUGACCACAGCUGAUGAAGAGAGCUGCAAGUUGUUCUUCAGUAACCUAAACCCAUGCAACCAAAUAUACUUCAAUUUAUUUAUUAGAACAAAAAGGAAGAAGACGAACUUGAAUAGAAUUUCAAUAAUGCCCAAGCAAUCGCAGUAACUUCUUACCUGGUGAUCAAUGUCGGAAACAUAAACAGUCCUCCUAAUAACCUCUUCCCUCUGAGCCAUACUAGUUCGACUAUUCAUCCUUCGCUUCCCAUGACUAUAUCCAGACUUCUUCUGAGGAUUAAAAUACAAAACAAAACUUUACACUAUAGAAACAAAACAAAUGAAGUCCUUCCUAUAUCUACACAAUCUUUUAAAGUAUACCUCCAAACCUAUAAAUUAACCUCACACUACAAAUUUGGAAAGUUUUCUAAUUUUAUAAAAUCACUACUUGAUUAAGAAACCGACAAUCAUCAGAAUACUUAAAGUUACAUGACUAAAUCAGGCAGAAACUGUACAAAACACGAAAAAGAUCAAAACUUUAAUAUUACCCGUCUCACCGAAUUCCCACCAGCCGCAACAGGAGAGCUAGUAUGCACAACAAAACUCCCAUCAGCAAUAUAACCAAACUGAGGUGCUUGCAAAACUGGCCCAAACCCCGUAAUUGAAGGAGGCACAAAUUCCUUCGCCAUCGGGUUCAAUUUCGACAACAUUUCUUCCAAAUCCCUCAUCUCCUUCUUAAACCCCUCCCCCCUAUCAUCACCACCAUCCUGAUCACCAUCACCAUCACUCCUCAAACCAUCCUGACCCUUCAUCUGAUGAUGAACCCCUCCAUUCCCAUUAGUACCAUUCUGCAGCUUAACCAAACUCAUCUGAUCACUACCCUUCACUUUUUUCAGCUCAUUCUCAACACCCAUCUCAAAAUUCUUUGAUUUGGGCUCACUAAUUUUAACCACCUCAGUCUGAUUCAUCAAAUUAUUAACAUUCAACUCACCAUUUUCAACCACUGCCAUGAUCAAAUCUUUCUUUAUAUAAUAUCUUCCUGUAAAAAAUAAAUUACACAGCCGAUCAAAAACAAAACAUAUGUUCUUGAGCCAAGAAACAGGAAAAAGACUCAAACUUUAUCACACACAAAUAACCAAAUCAGUGUGUGUUUGUGUGUGUAGAACAUGUAUGUAUAUGUGAAAUGAGGAGAUGAAUGACAUACCUUGGAGAUGAUAAAGAUCCUCAGUUUACACAAUGGAAACUCAACAAGAACAAAAAUAACUCACUUGUUUUUCUUCGCUUUCUUUAUUCUUUAUUCUUUUUUCUUUUUCAAUAUAUUCUAUAUUUUAUAAUAAAUAUUUAAAAACUGUUAUUUCAAAAGACUGUCUUUAUAAACUAAAAAACCCUAGGUUUUUUUUCUCUCUUCUAUGUAGCCGCAUCCUCUUUUCAUCUCCGACGGGGCUUCCAUCGGUUUCCGGUGGAAAGCCCCAAAUCUUUUCGUUUGAUUGCUAGUUUUUGAUUGUUCUUGCUUUUUCAUUGAGUUUCUUAAUAAAUCUCCAUCUUUGGGGAAAGUUUUCUUAGAUCUAUAUCACCGAAACUUUCGAUUUUCGUUCUUAUUCGCUUCCAGAGGCCUUUUUGGAUUUGUGAGUGGAUCGAUUAUCUCCUAAGCGUCGUGGUGCAGAUCUAAUUGUUUUAGUUUGUUUUGAUUAUAGUUUGAUUUCUCUCCCUGGUGAGAGUGUGUGAUUUUUCUCUCCUUUUGUGAGAGUGGUCUGGAUUCAUAGAUAAAGUCUUCCGGGAAUUGCAUUUGUGGUCGAUAGCUCAAACGGAGUUUUUGGAAAAGAUGGUGAACACAGAGCAAGGAUCUAUACAUGUACCAUCGUCAAUUUCAACAUCGCUUAUUUGUCUCCUCUUGGGUUUGAAGACAGGCAUGUUAAUUUUUUCUAUGUUUGUUCGACUCGAUCAUUCUUGUAGAUGCCGUAUGGCCAUUAUUUAUUGAAUUAUCUCUUUUUUUUCAAAAAUAAAUAUUUAAAUGUAUUUUUUUGUGUGUGGGGGAACACAGGAGAUUAAAAAAUGUUUGUGUUCUUUGAAAGGUCCGUUUCAAAACCGUUUUGCAUUGUAACUUAGGUAAAUAUUCACGUGUGGUCGUUGAAUACUACUGAUGUAAAUAGUUUGAAAAUUUAAUUUAUAAGGAUAUUAUUUGAAAAAUAAAAUUUAGUUAGUUAAUAAUAAUCACAAAUAUAAAUAUUUUAAGAAUAAAUAGAUAUUUAAAUAAUAAGAGAAUUUAUCUCACUUGUUUUAUUUAAAAGAUAACAUGAGAAACUUUUUGCCCAUUCUAUUUCUGAUAAAAAAUUAAUAUUCGUCGUAAAGAUAAAUGUUAAAAUAACAAUUCCGCACCUCUUAAUUAUAUCAUUAUUAUGUGUCAUAUUUAGUCAGUAGGAUGACUAAUUGAAUCACACAAUCUGUAAGACAGUUUAGAUUUUUUUUCCUGAAUCAAAAUCGAAAUAUAAUUCACGCUUAUUAUCCAUUUGAGAAUAAUGUAUGAGUUAGUUUCGGUUUGAUCCAACAUGAACCGUUUUAAAAUCAAAUUAUACAUAUACUCUGCAACUAGUCGUAUACAUACAUGCAUACAUGUGUUAAAAAUAAAUCAUAAAUAUAUAUAUAUAAAUAUCUUUCAUAUUUAUUUUUCAAUAUAAAUAUUUAAAAUUAUUAUAUUAUUAUUUACAUCGAGCCAGCAACUAAAAUUAUGUUAUAACUCAUUGAUAUUAAUCAUUUAUGAUUAAGUAGACUAUUUAAACAUAUUAUACUAAUUUUACUCUUAAUUAUAAGUAAGAGAAGAAUGAACAUUGAAAUAUUCUAAAUAUUAUAUUGUAACGAUUUUGUUUAUUAUAUAUGAUGAUAUUCUAAGCCGCUUUGCUAAUUUGAGCCGAGUUAAACUAAACCAAACAAUUUAGUUGGGUUAUGGGUUAAUCUCACAUCUCAAACUCGCUCAUUUUCUUUUUAGAAUUCAUAUUUAGAAAAAUGAUAUACGGGAAUGGAUGGAAUAAACCGAAAGCCAAGUUCUAAUAAUUAAUUUUAAUAUCAAAAAACUCAAAGAUCAUUUAUAAACACAAAAUCUAUUUGUCAAACCUACUUACAAUAAUUUUACAGUACUUAUGUUAUAUUAAAAAGAAAAUGUGAAACUCAUGGAAGAGAAACUUGAGGAAUACAACAGUUCCAGCGAAUACAUUGUACGAAUCAUGUUGCAUUCGUAUAAAUUAAAUAUAAUAAUCAUAUUUAUAAGUACUUUUAGGAGAUUUGACGCCAACUUAAAAAUAUUAUUUUUUAAUUUUUUUGUGAAUAAAAAUAUUAAUAAUAUAUUUUAAUUCACAAAAAUUAAUCAAUAUAAUAUUUAUAAAUAUAUGAUCAAAACUCUUAAAAGUAUGCGGAGAAAAAAAUUAAACAAUUAUUAUAUGCUAAUAUUGUAUACGAGGAUAAUAGCAGUAAUAAUACAGUGUCUUUUUUUUUUUCGCCACGUAAUACAGUGCCUUUUAGUUGACAAUGGUUGGAAGUUGGAACUGCACUUCGGUACCUUCCCCUUUUAAAAGUUGUAAUGUUACUAUCAUUUUAGGCUUUUAGCACCCAGCACGCCUCCUUUUUUAGCAUUAUAAUUAUUUAUAACAACCUGAAUAAUUUUUAUAUACUGUCCGGGAAAAAGUGAUGUAUUUUACAAAAAUGUAAAAUAAAAAAACCACUUAUAUCAGUAAAUAUUUUUGUAUAUCCCAUUAAAAAAAAUUAUCAAAUAAAUAAUAAUAUCUUGUCGUCCAAUUAAACUUCGACAUUAUCCAAUUUAUUUCUGAUUUCAAUCGCAUCAUCUAUUCGAACAAUUUUCUGAUACAUUUCAACUAAUCGGGUGGCGUCAUUAUGGUGCAGUCACGAAACAAUAAAAUUGAUGACUUUGUUGAUAUCUAUUCAACAAUGAAAGAGGUAAGCUAGUUUGAUUUUACAGGAAUGGAAAGCUAUGAUCAAGAAAUACUAGAGUUCACCCCCUAGCUACCAUUAUUGACCCAUUGUACACAUCUCCACCGUUGAUUGAAAAUGUAAUAGAUACAGAAUUCGAAAUGUUGAUAAAUGGAUUCAUAUCAGUUUUCCGAAAAAAUCUUGUUUCGUUGUGCGCCGUAUUAGACUGUCCUGAACAAGUUGCUGAUUAUUAAGCCUAACAGAAAAUAACGAUAUAUUCUUAUUCAUUUAUUUUUCGAUGUAUCAAGUAUCGACACAAUAUUUUAAAAUUUUCCGAUUAGUCUUUUGAAAAAACACCGAUUUAUCGAUUACACUCCGAUUUGACUAAAAAUUCCUGAUUUAUCCAAAAUAUCUCUUAUAAAUUUUGAAUCGGUAAUUCGACCGAUUCAUUCUGAUUUCUACGAUGGUAUCAAAAAUAAUAACGAUUCUCGGUUAGACUCUUAGAUAGGUAGCUAGGUCGGAUGGACCACGGAAAGGAAACUGAUUCUGGAAUUAUAUACACUUGAAAAUGGAUGCAAAGACGGCCUUUAUUGAUGGAGAACUGUGGCAAGUUUUUAAUUCAUCCCAAGUGGGUCAAUCUUCUUGUGACCCUAGAUCAUAAUAAUGUUGCUUCUCCCUUUACUAGACAAGUAUUGUUGCUUCAUACGUACACAGAUUCUAUUCUAUUGAGUACUACAAAAUGCUCAAUAAUUGUUCAGCUUUUUGGUAACAACAAUUCUUUCAUUACCUUCAUCCCCUGCAGCAAUGGCUGUAUAGGUCCCCAAUCCAUUGGACACAUACUGCACACAAUUCACAAUUUGUCAAGAAAAUGCAAAGUAGACAAUAUAUUUAUAUUGUUAUAUCGGUAAUGACACGCCAAUCCAUUAUAAGCAGCAUAAAUUCAGCAUGAAAAAAAUCGAUGGAUGGUAAAAAUCCUAGAAUGGAUAAUUUUUCCGCUAAAGAUUAAUGUCAUCCAGCAAGGAAAAAAAACUGUUGAUAGUAUGAUACAUCAUACAUAUGGCAAGGACCCAGACCGAAAACUGUAAAGUCAAAAAUACAAAUCACGAGUUUCGGUGGUACAAAUCAUCAAAUCAUCGGUCCCAAGCCAAUAUUGCAAAUCACCGGUUACAACUUACAACCGUACAAAUUACAGGUCAUUAUAUACACAAAUCACCAAAAUUAAAAAGCAAGCCUUCACAUAUGUAAAAUCUUUACCUAUAUCAUCUUCUAUAAUACUUUCUUUUGACAUUACAGUACAAUAUAAAUCUGAUAUUUGUACACAUCAACAUAACAAUCGACUGAUAAAGCAGAGAUGAAGUUUCAUAAUUUAAGUGAGUGACAGGUAUUUGACAUUUCCACACAAACAUUCUAGUAAAGGUGUCGUGCACCAUCCAAGCACAACAAUUAAACUUGUGUGGUAGCUGUUUAAGCAUGUAUCGAAUUAAAAGCAAACGGUACAGACUUCGGAUAUACGAACACAGUAACAAUACGUAUUUCAAUCAAACCAAAAAAAGUCAGUUUCAUUUUAUUCAUCUAACAUGGGAGCAGAUGAUAAAAAGAUGAAUAUCUUGAGAUUUAAUGUUUACAUCUUCCUCCGGGACACUUGAAUAAUGUGUGACCACAAGUAUUAAUUCUUCUGGCUGUACCUUGUCCUUGGAUGCCUGCAGAACACCAUAAAUAUAUUAUACAUACAUUUAUGAUAUAUAUGUUGUGCAAUGUGGGUUGUUUUCAGAAAUAUUAGCAAAAAAAAAAAAACACUAACCUGUGGGUACCAUGACCUUACAUUAGUUGACUUCCAGCAAACACAUUGGUGAAGGCAAAGAAUGAAAGAAUGCUCAACUCUGGAACUUCAGAACCUACUUACCAUAUACUAUAUAUAUUAACUUGUAUUAAUAUACAACAAAAAUAAAUACCGUUCUAACAUGUUUAUAGUUUAUACAGGUGAAGCUGCUAGAAGAAAUUCCGGUUGUAAUCUCUGUAGUAGUAUACCACAAAAUACACACAUGGGUGUCGAUGAUGGUCGGAGGGUUGUAAUUUUUGGGUCUUUACUAAGGUCACUAGGAUAUUGGAGCAUUGAAAAUAGUGCCCUUGGUGCAAAUUUUGAAGACCGUCUGUUACAGCACACACAAAACCAUGUUGGAGUGAUAUCAUUAACGAUCAUAGAGGCAGCACAGCGUGUCAGUUUGUGUUUCUGUACAACUCCAUUCUCGCAUUCUGUACCUUGACAGAAAGAAGCUUCUGCAGAUUCAAAUGGAACAGGUGCUGAACAGUAGCUGCAUUGCUCCUUCGCUGUAUAUUUACCGACUGAGCAAAGCUUGCUGUCAAAAGAAAAUUUCAUAUUACUAGCCAUGCAAAACCACAAACAUUUACAUCAUUGUUAUAAUUUAAUAUAAGCAGCAAGGCCCAGUCAAACGCUUAAACAAAUGCACAAAUCCCAGUUCACAACCCACUUGAGCAUGAAUUGAGGAAAAUUCAAGUUGCCAUUUACCACAAACAAGUGCACAAAUGUCAGUGUCACACUGUAAUUAUUCUCACAAAUUAUUAAGCUGUUAAAAAAGAAUGUGAUAUCUUCCAUAAACAUUCUAAUUUACACAAGAAGAACAAAAUUAAAUUUAUGAUCUUGCACAAACAAGACCAAGUAGGGUCUGCACAACACAGAAAAGACCUAUCACCAUUAUUUAAUCUACUAGGGCUAUGUUAGUGACUUAGUGUCUACACUUCCCAUAAUCUUGCUGUAUGACUCGCAAGAUGGAAUUCAAUGACCCCCGAUACUAUUUUUUCAUAGAAAGUGCACAUAAGAUUAUGCAAUACCCUGAACAAACAAACCCUAUUACCAAUUGGCAACAAAUUAAGAGAAUCCAAAAUGAAUACAUACUGCAUAUUAAUAAAGUUUGCCACGAGGUAUUGCACAUAUACCUUCAAGGGACCAGGGUAAAGGAACAGUUAAGAAGCAUAUCUAAAAUAUUUGAGUACCUCUUUUUAAUCUUCUUAAAUUCCGAUUUAAGUACUUUAAGGGAAUUCCUGAUAUGGGCCUGUUGAGAAUUAACCCAGUUCUCCAUUUGUGCCAAUCCAGCAGGCUGCCAGUAUCCAAGUUUACUAACAUUUUCUGAUGAUUGAGACACUAAGUUAAUAACGAUGGAGAAACUGCAAUAAAUGAGCCUUUCCCGGAGUUCUUUUUCACUGCUCUUUAGAAGCUUCAACCACAAACCCAUUUGUCCCUUUCCAGGUUCAGCUACAAAGCUCUGAUUUUCUUCAUUGACUUUAUCUGCCUUCAUAUCUGCAAGUAUUACACGCCUAAUGAUGAUGUUCAAAAAGUGCAGCCGACGGGUGGUAAUAUUAGAGAGGUAUUUAGAGACGACUUUUUGAAGAGGAGCAUUUUCCAAGUUGGAUCCCACAUAAGACCUUAGCCACUUGGCUAGUAUGUGAUCUACAUAUAUAGGAGCAAAUUGCUUGAAUGCCAACAAUGCUGCCACCACAUCCCAAAUAACCACAGGCUUGUUCAAAUGUUCAUGUUGACUGAGGGAGCACAUUAUGUUAAAAUCCCAAUUUAUCAAUUCUCUCGUAGAAAACCCAGAAAAAGCUUCACCGUCGAAGUCUGAACAUUUUUUUAGUAACUUAUCAAGUUGUUGACCACCGGUCCAAAAGAACUCGACAGCUGCUUUCUGAGACCUGACAAUGAUCACAAAUAUCUUUUAGAGAGAGCUGCAAAGAGGCCCUGUCAACAAUUUUACUAUUAUAAAUUUGAGCUCUACAUGUCCAGAAAAGCCUUUCCGCCUUCAACUAAUCUAUUUCAGCUAUAUCUCCUUGGACUACUUUUAUGUGUGACAUAUUUAUAUGACGUUAAAUAGUUGUCCUAAUGUAUCAUUUUUGACCAAGUGACAAUGCAUGCAUGUAUUCUAUAUUGUAUAUGCAGAUAUACAGAAUAUAGUAGCAAAUGUGCGAGCAAGUCGAAACUAUGUAAACUUUUUGUGAGUUAUAUUGAAUAGAUGAAAAUCUUUACCUUAACUGGUACAUUGGAUCUAAUAGACCUGCAUCAAAACGACGAGCCUGUAAUCGACAAUAAACUUGUUAAUUUCCAACCGAUAAUGGUAGCAAUAAUCAACCUAUAGUGCGAGUCAAAUUUACAAAGAACUUCUACUGUUUUCCCUCAAAAAGCAAAAGUUCAAGCAGUAGAGACGCGGCGUCUCUACUUAAGUCGAUGAUUUACACCUCCGUGUGCAAAAAACUUCACACUGUAACUCCUUGUUCCUCAAAAACAAACAAACUUUGCACAUUAAAGAUAUACUUUCUUGAAAAUUUGUCCCUAAAUCCAUUGCUAUUCUUUUAAGUUACAGACCUACGAUAAAUAACACAAUUACGAUACAUAGUUGGAUUCCAUCUCUGCUAGUCUGCUGGACAGUCGAGGCUUUAUUGCUGAGACAUGCAAGAUGUGGGCGGAUGCAACCCCUACUCAAGGAGUUUUAGACUGUACACUGCGUUAAAUUUUGUGAACAGUUGGAACUUGGAACCCUAUUGGUGUCGCAAUACACAAUUGAACACACCUCAACAGCAACACUUAAGGUUUAAAUAGUUUAAGGACUAUCUUGCAUGUUCUUAAAUGUUAAUGUUAUGUGCACAUUCGUGUAAAAACUAGGGAUGUACCAAGGCUUAUAUAUAUACUAAAUACUAUACAAGCAUACAUAGCAGCAGAAAAAUCAGUUCCUAAUUAUAAUCUUGAUAACUAGCAUGACUUCCUGUUUGCAAUACAUACUAGGCAGGGAUAACAUUACGUACCACAGCAACUACCAGAUUUCCAGGGAAUAAUGUUAAAUAUAUUAAUAUGUUAAAUAUAGUAUAUUAAUAUGUUAAAUGUAGUAUAUUAAUAUGUUAAAUAUAUACUGUUAAUGUGCUUACUGAUAGCAAUACAUGAAACAAAACAGGGACAACAUUACGUACCACAGCAACUACCAGAUUUCCAGGGGAUAAUGCUAGACCAAAACAUGAAUCGAAUGCAUUUGGGACCUGCAAAGGAUCCCUGGAAAACUUUAGAUGCUGAAUAAUAUGUGUAUCUGGAGUGUUAAGAACUGUAGAGGAUCACAUCAUACAUCAGUAGAGCUCUCCACACCAGGAGUAUUUGAAGGUAAAGUUACUUUGCAUAAGGAAUCUCCAUUUAGAGUCCAGCAGUGAAAAGAAUCAUCCUUAAAUAACACAUUUAGUAGUUAGGAGUACAUACUUUUAUCAUCAGGAAGAAAAUAUUCCAGUUACUUGGCCAUCAAACUGGGUGGGGGGAGGGGGGGCUAUAUGGUCAGUACUGGAAAGCAUUAAUGAGUCAAGUCCGACACAGUUCUACUAUUAAACAUACUACAUUAUAACUAAAUCCACGAAUUGAUAAGUGCAAACAUUAUGGGGGGGUACCAUGUACCUAAGAAAACAGAAUCUUAGAAACCUCAAAAUUGCUUUGGGUCAAAAAUACGGAAAAGACACAAGAAUAGGAAAAAGGUUAGAAGAGAAAAUCGUGAACAGGAUACAUAUAAGAGAAACAUGACCAUCACAAAUUGCAUAAGCUGGCCGUUAGCCACAUACGAGCACAAUGAGCCUAAAUACCUGGUUGCAGCUGUACAAACAGUUUCCAUCGAAUGCCCAUGCGAUUCCUGUUACCUGAAAAGUAAUUGGAAAUAGAAAACUUAAAAUUUAUCAUGAUAAUAUAUUUACAUAUAUUUUUACUUAUAAUCAUAUUUGAUAGGAAUAGAAGGAAACUUACAACAUGCCCAUGUAAAUCAUCAGAACCAACUUUAUGAAAUUUUCUGGUAGAUAUGUCACAUUUCCACACUUCUAAAGCUCCAGAACCUUUGCCAACCGCUAGAAGAAUUUUUUCCGCAGAGGCUAUGGGCACAGUAAGAGAAAGUGUAGAAACUGGAACAGAAUCCACGGAUAUGAGCUGCAUAGAGAUAGACUGAUCCACAUCAACAUAAAUAUAUAUUCAUUCAAAAGCUUGGAGUAAAAAACUAAGAGUUCAAAAGGGUGACCUCGUGAAAUAGGGAGAAGGAGGCAGAACUAGUUUUGGAUGGCUUCAGCAAUUCCGCACUAUAACAGUGCCAAAUCUUGACACUGUAAAUGAAAGAGUAAUAUUAGUAGCAAACUUUUUUGAAUCAAAUAUUUCUAUAUUCAAGUGAUCAAAUCAACUGCAUGUUGUCCCCCUCUAGUAACAGACAAAUACAAUAACAAAAAACCAAAACAACACAAAGCAAAAUAUAAGUAUAUGUUGCUUGUAUUGCCUAUUUGAUAUUCGUAGAAGUUGCAGCGUCUAAUAAAAUUUAAUAUACCUUGAAAGUUUGAAGAUAUGAGAUAUCUUGUCAUUAAUUUUACAUACAACUAUAAAUACCAUAAGUUUGAGCACAAGAAGAUUUGCAUAUACGUGUAACCUUAAAACUGGAAUUUUUAGAUGAUCUUCGGAGUUCGGCAACUUCUCUAGCAUUAUAGACAAAGCAAUGGGUUAUUACUGUUUUGAUUUAGAUGCAUACAUCUAUAUCAAUAAUCAGAUCAAUAGCAAGAGAAUAUUUAGUAUCUUCUGUUACCUAUUGAAUUAUCAUUCAAAAUAAGUUGACUGAAGCUACUUUUAGCAACAUUUUGUAUAACAGUUACUUUAGAGUUUAGCCACUUUUUAUUUAGUUAUAAUUAAGGUAGAACAAAUACAUGCCAAAAAAUAUUUUAAAAAUCUACUCACAAUAAAUAACAAUAAGUAUAAAGUAAAACCUCAUUCUGUCCAUUUUCAGUGUAAUCACAUCCAAGUUGCAAUUGAACAGACAACUGUAGUAGAUAACAUGUGUUGUUUAAGUCGUGAGAAAUGGCGUGAUUAAUCACGCUUUACGAGCUGCGUAUUAGUGUGAUUAUAAACUUGGCAUAAAAUCAUGCUUGGCUCGAGUAUUACUCGCCAAAAAUCGCACUAAGAAACACAAAAACUGAAAUACCCCCAAGUUAAAAAUAACUUACUUAUCUUUACUAAGUACCCAUUACAAAGAAGAGAAAGAAUUUAAAAGAAUGAAAUUGAGCUAAACAAUUUAGAAGCCUUUGACUUACUAAAUAUUAUAGAUUGAUAGUUUAAUACUGCUAUAUAAUAUUCCCACAUGUUUGAGACUGUAAUUUAUGUUUGAAACUAUUUUAAGUACUAUUUUAUUGUUUACCAUUAGAACAAACAUUCUCAAUAUCAUAUAAGUACAAAUAUAGAUUAUUUCAAUUUUGGGAAAAAAAACGUGUGAGUAAUCGCGCUUCACAAUUGGAGCACCUAUCCUUUAUACCCCGUGCUAAGAAUCUCUUGCGGUUUUUUCAAUUUUGUGUGUUUCAUAGCACUAGGUGGUGUACAAGGCACUAUUAUGUCAAAGCUCUAGAUACAAAGGGGUACAAAAAUUAAGUCUAUGUGUAAGCAUCAAACUACUCACCUCCCAUCCGAACUUCCUGUAGCUAAGAGAAGCUGAUGAUUAGAAGCAUCAGAAACAGACACUGCCCAAUUCAUUGUAGUGACCCAAGACAUAUGUGCAUGGAGAAUUCCAACGAGCUGUACAUCAUUGGUAUAUGUGUUGUUUAUAAUAGAAUAGUGUUGUGGUUUAUUGAUUUUCCAGAACGAAAUCAUGCCCGAUUUUCCUCCAAUUGCAAGUAUCGAACAACAGUCACACGAAUCAUCUGGUGACGAUAAUCUAUACUCGGAUGUUUGUAAAAGUGGUGACCAGGAAACAACAACUGAAGCUAGCAUUGAGCUGCGUGAAGCAUAUUUAUCAGCUGAUAUUAAGGCGACGUUAUGCGUUUCUGGCACUCUUUUCUUACUCUUUGUUUUAGAUUUAGGCAUGCAAACAAUUUGAAGAGACCUACUUUUCAGCUUGUCAUCAGGGGCUUUAAGAGCCUGGAAAACAAGCAAAAGGAUUUAGAGACAACUAUGACUACUAACUGUGAAGUUUAACUGAGUUAAUAGUGUUAUAUAUAUAUAUAUAUNNNNNNNNNNNNNNNNNNNNNNNNNNNNNNNNNNNNNNUUUAUAUCUAUGUAUGUAUGUGUGUAUGUAUGUGUGUGUGUGUGUGUGUGUGUGUGUGUGUGUGUGUGUUAUAAUUACCAUGAACCCAACAAUGAAGAGUGCAAUGACUAUAUAUGAUAUCAUGUUACAACAUUGUAACUUCAUAUACUAAAAGACACCAACCUCUAUAGAUGAACCUUCAAUUGCAAGCGAGCAUGGAAAACUUGAGACUUCAGUAAUAUCAUUUGCAGAAUCACUACCAUCAAGCACAGAAGAACAGAAUAAACUUAUGAGUUUAGAGUUUAUUAUCUUGAUUAAAUCAAACAAUCUGUGCAAUACUAGUAAAUAUGGCAUAGUCGAGCACUGUACCUCACUGCUAUGUCAUUACGCCUUUUUCGUUUAGGGUUUUUUCUCAUCACAGGGGUCGAAGUAUCAACAUCAUGAUCUUUCCCGAGUUCACUUGCUCUCUCCUAAAACAGAAAAAGAUAUUUUAUUUUUGGGGGUUCUGAUACAGAGAAUAUAACAGAUGAAGGAUAACCAGAACCAAUAAAACAGUAAAGAAAUAAUAAAUCAUACAACGCUUCAUGCGCUAUUUACAUUUCUACUUCAAAAAACAUUUGACAAGUGCUUUUCAAGUGUGCUUAGUUAUCUACAAAUCAUAUGUUUGAUACAUGCACACGUGAACUUACUUCACAACAAGGUACAGAGUCCAUGUUACAUAAAGAAAAGUUAUCAGGUUAUGUUAAACUGCUAGAACAGGUCUACUAGAACUAUUCAAUUACUUGACUUACAUUAAAAAGCUCCGAGUAAACAUCCGACUCCCAGAAAUUGACAUCCAGUAAAUACUUGUACAGCUUCUCAGAAAUAUCCAAGAUCUAUGUUAUGAUGACAAACUGAAACUUCAUUACAAGACGAUUACUGGUACAAUCAUAUGUGUGUGUGUGUGUGUGUGUGUAAUGAGAGAGAUAGAGAGAGAGAGAGAGAGAGAGAGAGAGAGAGAGAGAGUAUAUUAUCAUAGAGAGAGAGAGAGAGAGAGAGAGAGAGAGAGAGAGUAUAUUAUCUAUAAAUGUUUUAAGAAAUCGAUGUCCUUGUGACUCGAGUACAAAUUAAAUCAUUCAAGAUUAUUUACUUUUGGUAAAGGUCAACUACAGAUAUUAAGAUAUUAAGACUCUACUACGCUUCCACUCAGAGCUAAACGAGGACAUACCUCAACCCACUCGGCGGAGAAGUCAUAGAAAGGAAAACGGUAAAGCUUCACUCGUCCUUCAGUGGUACAAACAGCAAGCAAGCAUCUGCACCAAGUAACACACACGCAACUUACAUUUUCAAAUAUAAUCACAUUACAACACCUAACAAAAUGUAAACCAAAACAAGGUAAGCUGGAUAAAAUUUACCCUGAGUUUGGCGCUAAUCCAGUGGGAGACCAGGAGAUAGACCGAACACAAGGACUGGUAUCUCUAUGAAAACUAAUGGGUUGCAUGCAACCACUGAGCAAAUCUAAGCAAACGGAAAAAAAAAAGAAGCUAAUCAAGGCAAACCAAACAAUAAAUCAGGUUACAUGAUCUUAAACAUAACUCAUCAACCAAGAGAUCCCAACAACUCUCCUAAUAUACCAGUGGUUAUUCCAUUGGUAGAGAUUCUGUCCUAAUGAGUACGUUGCCAUAAUGAACAAAUACCUUCCUUGUCUAUUACUCCAAUUUGAAAAGGUUGGCUUGGUGGUACUGUAAUAAGGCCUCGAGGUCCAAAAGGCAUGUUUGGAGUCUAAUAUAUACAAGUAAAACCAACAAAUGACGAGUAUCAAAAGAAACCCAAAAAAACAUAAACAAGCAACCACAUAAUAACCUUAUAAACUCAUAAUCGUAAUGCGAGUGAGUCCAGCAUUACCAAAAUAGUCACAACAUGCCCGCAAGCAACUGCAACCAAGUUCUCUUCAGACCAAGCAACAGCAUUCGGAUAACAAGGUGAAGCCACUAGUGAAGCAGCUUGAAAGCGCAACGCCGCCAUUCUUGCUGCAAUGGGUCAGUAAACAAAACAAUGACUACAAUAAAAAAAACUGAUUCUAUUUGCAGGAAGUUCUGGAAAUAGCAUGUUACCAUACAACAAAGCACCAAAAAAUAAACCAAUGCCCUCUCGGUCUAAUGGUAACUCUCUCGCUCCUUUUAUGAAACGAAAUGUCGAGGGUUCGAAUCUUUUUAAAGACAAUUUAAGCAUUUAAUAAUCACAUUAAAAAAAACUAUAUAUUCUUUGGGACUUGCAUCAAACAGUUAAUGCGCAACCAUAAGUGAAAAAUCUAAACCACAGAGUAGAUGAAACGAGGAGUUGGGGAAUUACCUGCCGGAAAGUGGGUUAAUUACGAGGCCGGUUAAUGGAAUAUUUAUCAGUGUUGUGUGAUAAAAUGGAGAUGAAAUUGUAGAGGGUGGUACUUCCGCUAUUCUAUGUUUUAUGGGGACAUUAAGGUAAUUCUACCACUGUUUUUUGGGCUCUUUUUUCCCCUAUGUCCUGUGCUUACCAAAAUAAAGCCUUAUGUACUAUAAUACUGCAUAUCAGAAGGGUAAUUGAGUGACUAAAGCUAAUCAAAAACAGUGAUUACAGAUAUGAUCACCAGAUGAGAGCCAACGACUUAAACUUUGUAUUUGGUCCAUUUUCAAAUAUGGGGAUCUUUACCUCUGACCCAGAGGAAAGCCUGCUCCUGUUUAUAGAUCUUUGAUAUGUAAAUUAGAAUCCAAAUGGGCAGGUACAAAGUCUCUGUGGAGAUAAAUACAUAAAUGGAAUUCAAUGAAGUUAAACCGCUUACGUGGCCUUUUUUAUAAUUCGAUAGCUGAUACAUAUUUAAGAUUAUUUAAUCCAACUGCACAAUACCAACAACCAACCAAUCAAAUUUUAAAUCAAACAAAUUAACAACUACUGACCAAUAACCAGUAAUACACAUUUAUACUCUAAUAAAUCACAACUCAACUCAUAUAUUUGAAUUUGUGAAGAAAACUCUCUUUGUGACCUUAAAACAGAAUUUUCACAAAGUUGCGCUACCGACAUUCAAACAUUUUUAAUAAAUCAGAAAUAUAUGAUUUUCACUUGAAAUUUUGAGGAGACUUUCCUGAACUCCCCAAGUAGCUACAAAGUUUGUUUUGGCUUAAAAAUCAAAGUCAAAGUAAUUUAACUAUAAUUUAUAAAAUCAAAAAUCGGAGCAGUUUUGCUUAUUGCACAUACCUCACUAAAAUAAUCAUAACUCCCAACUCAUUAAUCUAAAUGCAAUGAUUCUUUUUGGAGAGUAAACUAGACUCCAAUUAUCAUAUAAUAUGACCAGAAACUACUGCUCAUGCAUAUCAUAAUUUAUCCAGAAAAUGACUCCAACAGAUGCAUCACAACAGCACAACAAAAUUUCGCACAUAUGUCACUUAAAUGGCUAUAUCUUUUAGCUCAUAUAAUGAAACAUCGAAAUUCUUUUUCGUACUUGAUAUAGACAUCAAGGAACACCUUAUCACAGAAAUAUUAGGCACAAAAGUCGAUUCAAUUAACCCAAAAUUAUGCUACAAAAACAGCCCAGCAGCAGUCUACAAAUUUAUAACGUUCUAAAUCAUUAAUCCGCUACUUACACUCUCAAAGUACCAUUCUAAAAGCAUACCAUCAUACUUGUAUGCAUAAUCUUAAACCCAAUCAUCAAAACAAAUCAAUAUUAAUCAAGCCCAACUCAUAAAUCUGUUUUAAAAAUUUACAAAAUCCAAUAUGCAUACAAAGUUAUCAUCUUAUCAAGAUUUUUCCAUGAAUCAAAUUCAAGAACACAAAAAUCGAACUAAACCCGAAGUGGGUUCUAAUAAACCAAGCAAUACCCACAACUAUAUAGUUUAGGAAGUGAUUCAAGACAAAAAUCCGGUCUCAAUUCGAGAAUCGGACACGAAAAAGGAAGAGGGAGUGAGGAGGGAGAGAGUACCAGAGAGAGAGAGAAGAGCCGAGAGAGAUGAAGAGAGUUCGAGAGAACUCGACACUGAAUAAGAAAGAACUGGGCUGGUGGUUUAGAGGAUAUAGCCGGGGACAAUUUAGUAAUCAUACAAUUAAAACCAAUACCCUUUUACUGCAAAAUUCCUGAAAAACGAGCUUGUAAAUUAUAAAACUUCUAUGAAAUUGCUCUGAACAACUCGAACUAUAUUUUUAAAAUAUAGAAUAUGAAAUUACCUCUCUCCCCAUAUUUUUAAAAUAAUUUUUGAGCACAUAGAUUAUUUUAUAUGAAUUUUACAAGAUAAUGCUCGAUAAUCAAAAUUAUGAUUAUAAAAUCAUUUUAAAAUAGUAAAUCACUGAAAUAAAUUCAACGAUCAUUCUUAAAAUAUCUUUAAGAAUAUUCUAGAGAUAAUAAAGCAAAUUCCAUGAUUUUAUCACAUCUCAAAUAUUUUACAAAGAUAUGUAAGCUCAUAUACUCAUAUUUUCACAUGAUAAAAUAUUUAAAAUUAUCUAAAGCCACAUCAAUCACAUAUUUCAACCCGUACAAGUCAUAUAGCACGUAGUCAUACAUCCACAAUCAAAUCUCAUACUUUCAUUUAAUUAAUGUAUCAAAAUAUAUUUAUUCACACUUUUCUAUUUCCGUCAUUUGCGUAAAAUCCGAUAUCCUUUAUCGGUCAUAAAUUCACUUUAUCCACUUAACCGUAUCAACACAUACGGGUCACAAAAUCAUGUACUCAUAUAUUUUCCAUGAAAUUAAUAACCCACUCAUUUCUCGUUUAAAUCCUCAUAAAUAAUCACUUUUCGGUUCCUUGACCGUUGACUCAAAUUCAUAAAUCAUAUACCACCUCAUCCAACUGGAAUAUUAUAUAAUAUUUAUUUAUUUUCUAAUUUCACAUAAAAUGGCACAUUUGCAUAUAAUAUUCGAUAUACAAUUCGCGAAAUCCCCGGAUAUUACACUAUGUCCUGUGCUUACCAAAAUAAAGCCUUAUGUACUAUAAUACUGCAUAUCAGAAGGGUAAUUGAGUGACUAAAGCUAAUCAAAAACAAUGACUACAGAUAUGAUCACCAGAUGAGAGCCAACGACUUAAACUUUGUAUUUGGUCCAUUUUAAAAUAUGGGGAUCUUUACCUCUGCCCCAGAGGAAAGCCUGCUCCUGUUUAUAGAUCUUUGAUAUGUAAAUUAGACUCCAAAUGGGCAGGUACAAAGUCUCUGUAGAGAUAAAUACAUAAAUGGAAUUCAAUGAAGUUAAACCGCUUACGUGGCUCUUUUUAUAAUUGGAUAGCUGAUACAUAUUUAAGAUUAUUUAAUUCAACUGCACAAUAACCGCCUAGGCGCUAAUAAUCAUGAUUAGGGGCGAGCAGAAAAAACCGAAACCGAAAAAAAAAACCGAAAAAACCGAAAAACCAUACCGAAAAAAACCAAACCGAAAAUAAAACCGAAAAAAACCGAAAUAAAAUAACCGAAAAUAAUGGUGCGGUUUUAUUUUCGGUUUUAUAUUAAAACCGCACCGAAAUUAACCGAACCGAAAUAUAUAAAUAAAUAAAUAAAUAUAUAUAUAUAUAUAUAUAUAUUAAUAAAUAAUAAUAAAUCACCUCAGUAAUAUUGAUACUUUGUAUCUUAUUUUUAUCGAAACCUGCUAGCUUCUUCCAGAGACUACGCAGUACGCACACUAGCCGAGACGUAAACUCAAGCGUCAACUUUGCUUUGCUCUCCUCCAGUCUCUACAAAUAACUAUACAGCAAGUCAAUAAUAUUAAAACAGACUCUUGGUUUUUCAAUUUCUCACUCCUUUCAAUUCAUAUAAUGCUCCGGUGAAUUCUUCUUUAUUUUUCUUGGUCUUAAUCAGAUUCAAACACCAGGUUCUUAUAAAAUAUCUAAGUUCAUUUGUAAGUUUAUUUCUUUACUCAUAGUCAUAGAUUACUUAUAUUGCUAAUUUUUUUUAUUGCAGAUGGAGUUUAAUGAUCCACUUUCUUCACCUGGAGUUCUUAGAGAAAAACUUCCUCCGACUCAAACAGAGAGACAACAGGAGCAUGGUACAUCUCAAGUCAACCAAAAACAUGAUACACCCCAGGUACACGAAACUGCUGAUGCUAAAAAUGAAACUUCGAAAAGAAAGUCAUUUGUUUGGGAUCAUUUUACCUAUGUAGAGAACAUGACUGAAGGAAAAUGUCCUUACUGUAAAAAGAUAAUCAAGUGUCAUGUUAGAAGAAAUGGGACGAGUGCUUUAGGUAAUCACCUUACUAAUCACUGUAGGACUUCUCCUGUUUUUAAAUCUAAAACUAGCAACAAGAAGCAGAAAACAUUGGAGGCAACAUUUGCACCUAAGAAUCAGGCGGGAAAUGAAUGUGAACGUACACUACAGGCUUAUAGUUUUAGUCAAGAGAGGAGUAGAGAGGCACUUGCUAGGAUGUGUAUCAAAGAUAAUAGACCUUUUAGUAUUGUUGAUGAUGAAGGUUUUGUUGAAUAUGUGUGUGAAAUAAAUCCAAGAGUUAAACUUCCGAGUCGUUGGACAGUGGCAAGAGAUUGUUUAAGUAUUUACGUAAAAGAAGCUAAAGCACUCAAAAUACUAUUGAAGGGUCAAAGAGUGUCCUUAACUACUGAUACCUGGACUUCUGUCCAAAACAUAAACUAUAUGUGCCUCACAGCACAUUGGGUAGAUGAAGAUUGGAAUCUAGUAAAAAAAAUCUUGAACUUUUGUCGAAUUGCAAAUCAUAAGGGGGAAACAAUUGGAAAGUUGGUACAUGCAUGCUUAGAAAAGUGGGGUGUUGACAAAAUAUUCACAGUGACGGUCGAUAAUGCAGCUUCUAAUGAUGGUGCAAUCAGAUUCUUAAAGAAAAAGUAUAAGGGGGCGAAUGCGAUCCUAGAUUGCAAUUUUAUGCAUUUAAGAUGUUGUGCCCAUAUAAUUAAUUUAGUUGUGAAAGACGGGCUGGAAGAAGAACAUGAUUCGAUUGUGCGAGUUAGAAAAGCUGUAAGAUAUGUUAGGUCGUCUCCAUCUCGUUCUGAGAAAUUUGAGGAAUGUAUUAGAAAGGAAGGCAUAAAAUGUGAUAAAAAUGUGUCUCUUGAUGUCGAGACGAGAUGGAACUCCACGUACUUGAUGUUGGAGGCAGCAGUAAAGUAUGAAAAGGCAUUCAAAAGACUUGAAGAAGAUGACUUAUCUUAUUUUAAUUACUUUCUUAUUGGAGAUGAAGAAGAUGUCACAACAAACACAAGGACCAAAGCUAAGAAGAAGAAGAAGAGAAAAGAAGUAGUUGGAGGACCUCCAUCAGAAAAUGAUUUUGAGAUAGCUCGGAAUUUUCUGAAAUUUUUGAAGCUAUUUUACAGGGUGACAGAGAAAAUUUCAGGGUCCAAGUAUGUUACCUCAAACCUGUUCUUUGAUGAGCUUGUGAAAAUGCAUGUGAAAAUUGGAAAUAUGUGUUUUAGUGAGCAUGCAAGAUAUUUAGAAAUGGCAAAGCGCAUGAAAGCAAAAUACGACAAGUACUGGGAUAAUAUUGACAACAUAAACUUUCUCUUCUAUGUGGCAGUCCUCCUCGAUCCCCGCAGGAAGAUGCAGUACAUUGACUAUUGUUUUUCACAGAUAUAUCCUGAUGAAAAAGAGAAGCAGAUUCUAAUGAAAGAAAAGGUGAAGAGCACCCUGGAUGCAUUUUACAAAGAUUAUGCUAGACUUCAGGAGGGCCAGACAAGUGGUAACACAUCGAAAAAAUAUUCUGUGAUAAAUUCAAAUAUUGCACCCAUGUCCAUUGAUGACGAGGAAGAUGAGGAGGAUGAUGUUGAUUUGAUAGCGAAUUUUCAAAAGCACUUGGAGUCAGAAGAUAGCAUGACUAACAAAUCUGAAGUUGAUAUUUAUAUGUCAGAUGCUAUUGAGAGAAAUUUAGGUGAUGACUUUAAUAUUUUGCAGUGGUGGAAAAUGAGUUCUGUAAAAUUUCCAAUUCUCUCUCAGGUAGCUAAGAAUGUGUUGGGCAUGCCUAUUUCUACAGUGGCUUCAGAGUCUGCAUUUAGCACUGGGGGGAGGGUGAUCGACCCAUUUAGAAGUUCACUCACUCCAAAGACUGAUGAAGCUUUAAUUUGUACACAUGAUUGGAUCAGGUCAAAGAAUUCAAAGCAAAUUGAUCUGGAGACUUCACAACCUUUUGCUCUUGAUGGGAUUAGAAAGCAGCUUGAAGAAAUUGAAAAAGGUAUCUUAAAUUUUUAGUUACUAUUAGUUUUAUAUUAAUUUAUGUUAUAGAAUGAGUCUUUUAAUUAUAUAAAAUAAUGGUUGUUGCAUGCAAUUUCAUUAUAUAAUAUAUUUUUUUCUGAUUUUUAAUUCUUUUUAUAAACAAACACACACGAAUAUCAAAUAUAAAAAUAAAAAUUUACAUUUCACAUUAAUAUAAUUAUUGAUUUAUUGUGCUUAUAAUUUUUUGUUUAAAUUGUAGAUGAGUUGGGAAGGGCACCUAAGUACUUGGAGGAGAGCUUGAUCGAAGAAUAGGAUAAUUGCAGUAGAGCUGAAAUAUUUGUGGUGUUAAUCUGCUGAUUAGAUGUUAUUAUGAAACUUAUUCAAUUACCCAACUUUUUUUAUUUAUGUACUUUUUGAAGACUUUUUAUCUGAAUUUCAUGAUUAGUUUAUUUUGGGUAAUUUAUUGACUUAGCAUCAUCUAAUUUCUUGUCAAAAUAUUUAUUUUUUAGUCUUUAUUAUGUAUUAAAGUUUUUUAUUUUAGAUUAAAGUAUGUAAUAUUUUCUAUAUCCUCAUAUAUGGAAAUAAGAGUGACCGAACAUAGUAUACAUUGUACAUGUACAUGAAACUUUUCUAUUUUGUUUAGAAAUUUAUUAUGGACAAAAGUAACAAAUCAUAGUAGAAAAACCGAAAAAAAAACCGCAACCGACUAAUGGUUAAUCGCAACCGAAUAACCGCUUUAAUUGGUGUGGUUACGGUUAAUGAUGAUUAACCGAACCGAACCGCAUUCAACGGUUUGGUAACGGUUAAUGUUCGGAACCGCACCAAACCGCACCAUGCACACCCCUAAUCAUGAUCUACUCUCAAGAUUCUACGCUUUUCAUUUGUACUUCUACAGAAAAAUUCUGAUAAGAGCCCGUUCCCGUUCCCGUUCCCGGGAGUACAUGCCAAUAUUAGUUUUCCUGUUAAUUUCGGAGUGUGGAGCAUCUGUUACCUGUUACCAGAAUAACUACUGUAAUGCGUUUCUAGCCGUUGAUAACUUGAUAUCGAAGGCCUGUAUGGCUACAAAACCUACAAAUUAACCGAGUUGAUUGACGAAUCGAUGGUGUUCCAACCCACUAUACCGUAAUUAAGCAAUUGUGUAAUUAGCAAUUGAAGAAAAUAGUUAACAGGGCUAAUAUCUAUGUCAUUCAUAUUGGUUGAUUAUGCAAAAUAAGCAAUACGCACUAGUGAGAAACUGAGUUGAGCGGAGAAAAGAAAGUACCUUUAAUUACACGCAACUCCUCUUNUCUGAUUUUUAAUUCUUUUUAUAAACAAACACACACGAAUAUCAAAUAUAAAAAUAAAAAUUUACAUUUCACAUUAAUAUAAUUAUUGAUUUAUUGUGCUUAUAAUUUUUUGUUUAAAUUGUAGAUGAGUUGGGAAGGGCACCUAAGUACUUGGAGGAGAGCUUGAUCGAAGAAUAGGAUAAUUGCAGUAGAGCUGAAAUAUUUGUGGUGUUAAUCUGCUGAUUAGAUGUUAUUAUGAAACUUAUUCAAUUACCCAACUUUUUUUAUUUAUGUACUUUUUGAAGACUUUUUAUCUGAAUUUCAUGAUUAGUUUAUUUUGGGUAAUUUAUUGACUUAGCAUCAUCUAAUUUCUUGUCAAAAUAUUUAUUUUUUAGUCUUUAUUAUGUAUUAAAGUUUUUUAUUUUAGAUUAAAGUAUGUAAUAUUUUCUAUAUCCUCAUAUAUGGAAAUAAGAGUGACCGAACAUAGUAUACAUUGUACAUGUACAUGAAACUUUUCUAUUUUGUUUAGAAAUUCAUUAUGGACAAAAGUAGCAAAUCAUAGUAGAAAAACCGAAAAAAACCGCAACCGACUAAUGGUUAACCGCAACCGAAAAACCGAUUUAAUUGGUGUGGUUACGGUUAAUGAUAAUUAACCGAACCGAACCGCAUUCAACGGUUUGGUAACGGUUAAUGUUCGGAACCGCACCAAACCGCACCAUGCACACCCUAACUANNNNNNNNNNNNNNNNNNNNNNNNNNNNNNNNNNNNNNNNNNNNNNNNNNNNNNNNNNNNNNNNNNNNNNNNNNNNNNNNNNNNNNNNNNNNNNNNNNNNNNNNNNNNNNNNNNNNNNNNNNNNNNNNNNNNNNNNNNNNNNNNNNNNNNNNNNNNNNNNNNNNNNNNNNNNNNNNNNNNNNNNNNNNNNNNNNNNNNNNNNNNNNNNNNNNNNNNNNNNNNNNNNNNNNNNNNNNNNNNNNNNNNNNNNNNNNNNNNNNNNNNNNNNNNNNNNNNNNNNNNNNNNNNNNNNNNNNNNNNNNNNNNNNNNNNNNNNNNNNNNNNNNNNNNNNNNNNNNNNNNNNNNNNNNNNNNNNNNNNNNNNNNNNNNNNNNNNNNNNNNNNNUCUUCCGAUGCCCUCGCCGGAAAACAAGGCUCGAAUUCAACUUAAAUCAGCAGGCAUUCAAGCACGGGUUUCGAGGUGUCUGUGAAUGCCGCUCCGUUCCCUUCAGGCUGCGUUUUAAAGUUUCGGUGGUUUGGGAUUAGGCCCUCCCGAUCCUUUUAUUUUGUAACUUUUUAACGGGUGUUUUUGAAUGUCUAGGCCGAUUAAUUUAUAAAUUUUUUGAUAGAUUUAAUUAAAAUAUUUAUAUUAAUUCAAACUUGUUUCUUGACUAUUUAAAAAAAAACUUAUACACGUUAAAAUGAUGUUAAUUUUAUAUAAACGUAAUUUUUUAUACAAAAUUAUAUAUCAAAUAUAUAUUAUAUAUUUUUAAAAUAAUAAAUAGUAUACUUUUUAUUACAUCUGGUUAGGAAUAUUUCAGAUGAUAUGAGUUUUUCUUGUAUUUUGUUUUGUGGGUACUCUUUUUCCCCCUAAGUUAUUUCCCAUAGGGUUUCCUCUUGCGGGGUUUUAACAAGGUCCAAUUGGUGAGUUUUUUUUUCACACAAUAGAGACCAUACCUUCUAAACGUCCGGAGUAUUUAUUUACUCUUGGAUUAGAUAGUAUACUUUUGUGGAUGAAAGAAAUUCUAUUCCAUCGGACAUUGUAUUUUCGAUCUUUGGUAUCAAUGAAAAUCUAUUUUUCUUUAAAAGAAAAAGAAAAAAAGAAAAAAGUCUUUUAUUAUGUCAGCUCGUGGGUUUACCCAAGGCGCACCCGAAAAGGUAACGAUUGCGGGUUCCUACGUUAAAAAAAAAUUCAAAAAAAAUGUGUGAUUAGUGAUUAAUGAGUCUAGUUAAUGCGAAUUGAGAUCUCAAACUCAUACUUAUUUUCUUAAAAAAAAAAAAUUUACCAUUUUGGAAAGGUGUCGUAGUUAUUUAUGUGUUCCGUGUUUUAUAUUUUCUUAAUUUAAAUUUGUUUUUAAGAAUAGUUUUUAAAUUUUCAGGACUUGCCAAGUUAAAAUUUUCGGGCGUAAAUUUUUAUUUAUUUUUUUUGAGUUAUAAAUUUUAGCAUAAAUAAUGCUCACUUUUUAUGAGAAAUUUGAGUACUGUAUUUAUAUAUUACUUAUAACAUAUGUAUGGUUUGAGAGAUUUAGCAAGACCUUAGUCAAAACGAGGUGAAUAUUGUGUAGACAUCUCCUAUUUGGUGUAAAUAAAUAGUAUAGCGUGUAGUUGGAGUUAUUGGACACGUAUAAUCAUGACUAUUAUUUGUAUGUUUUAGUCAUUUUGAUAAUAUUUCUUUUGUGUUAUGAAAACUCUUCUAAUUAAAUUGUAUACGCGUGUCGUCAGAGUUAUGAGAGUUAUUGGUUUAUUUUUUUAAAGUAAAUGUGAUUAUUGUGUAUAAGUGUUAAGAAUAUUUUAAACAGUGUGAUUGUUUUAGCUGAGAAUGCAUUUGUUAUGUUUCUUUGAUAUUUAUCAUGCUUAUUUAUUUAGAUAUUCAGUUUUAUUCAACUUAUGUAUUAUUUACAUUCAUAUGGACAUUUCGUUAAACGACAAUUCAUUUUUAUUUAUUUUUCAUCGGACAUAUUAAAUGGAUUGUUUUGUGAAAGAACGUGAGUUUCAAAAUGUGCGUAUUCAAUUGUAGUUUUCACUCAAAUAUUAAAAAUUGUUACAUUUGAGCAUGUAUUUAGAUUGAAAUUUAUAUAGAUGGAUGAGUUCAAAUUAUCUUUUUUUUAAGGGAGUUCAAAUUAUUUUAAACUACUAUUUAAACCAAGAAGAUUAAUAUAAUCAAUAUUCGGCAAAGGGAGAUGAUACAAACGAAUAACGGUCUAAUGGGGAAAAAAUUUCAAUUUCAAACAAAGAAAAAGAAUUUCAAUUUCAUAACGUAAAAAAAACCGAGGCCUAUGUAAAACACACUUAAAAUCAAUAAUAAAAUUGAAAGGGAGCGCUCACGAGCAAAACCCUAAAACCUCUAUCCAAGCCCUCAAUUACAAAUACCCCAUCCCCAUUUCUCUGCGACUACCCAAAUCAAUUGCAACCCUUUUUCGCAGAUUCAAUUUGGGUCUGGCCCAUUAAAUCGUAUGUUUCUCUGUCUCAGUCUCCAUCUCCACUUUCUUGUUUUUUAAUACACACAAACCCAUGUAUGUAUAAUUAUCAAUGUCAUCCUCUAGACUUGCAGAUUAGCUAAUUCAACAGUUCUUGUUUUGUAUAUAUGUGUUUAUGUUAAGUGUAUAUGAAUGCAAUUUAUUAUCUUUGCACGAAAGAUCUGAAUCUAGAAUUUUCUUGGUUUUUGGGGGUAUUUUUGUUUGUUUGUUAUGAUUAUUUAUGGUAGUCGAAGUAAUGUUGGUUAUUGGUUUAAGCUUUGAUUUAAUUUUUAGGGUUUGUGUGUUUGCAGGUUGAGGAGGUUUUUGUGCUAAUUUGAGUUGAAUAACGAUGAGUAGCCGAUUCUCUCGCACGAUUUAUGUUGGAAAUCUUCCUUUGGACAUAAGGGAGUCUGAAGUUGAGGACCUGUUUUACAAGGUUUGUUUUCGGUGGUUCUGAGAUGGGUUGUGUUUGCAUUUUGUAAGAUGUAUUGUCUUAUGAUGUGUAAUUGUAGUCUUUGUUGCUAAAUUUGAGGUGGUAGACACGAAAUGCUUAAGUUAUACUGUAUGUUUAUCUGAAAUUGUAGUCUUUGUUGCUAAACUUGAUGUGGUAAGCAUCAAUUUAAUUUAAGUGAUUACUACAUAGAAUGCCCAUUCUUAUAAUUUUUUUUUUGCUAGUUAUUUAGAGGUUCUAAGAAGCCAAGACUUCUCGUAACAUUUAGUUUUUGGUGAAACAUGUCAGUCUUGUGAUAUUCGUAUAAUCAUUAUCAUCGCAUUCAGUGGUUUGCUACAGUUACAUGCUGAGUUAAUCAUUAUCUCUCCUCAUGCAGUAUGGCCGUAUAUUGGAUAUUGAACUGAAGAUUCCAUCUCGUCCUCCUUGUUUUUGUUUUGUGGAGGUACCUAAAUAUAAUAUACAACUUAUUAUCUCAAUGUGCGGUUAAUAUAUUCUUUUAGAAAAUCUAUUUAUUUUCUGUACUUCUAUAUACUAAACUUUGUAGUUUGAGGAUCCCCGGGAUGCUGAAGAUGCAAUUAGGGGUCGAGAUGGCUACAACUUUGACGGUUGUAGAUUGAGGGUACAUUACGUAGCUCUGUUAACUACCUUCCGUAUUAGGGCACUGUGAUAAAUAGUUAUAUAACACUCAAAACCAAUGGUGCAGGUUGAACUUGCACAUGGUGGUAGAGGGUCAGUUUCUGGUGAUCGCCGUGGUGGUUAUGGUGGUGGUGGUGGUAGUUUUGGGGGUGGAAGGGGUCGCCCUGCCAUUUCACGCUACUCUGAGUUCCGAGGUAGGAAUAUUAUUGUAAUAUUGUCUAUGGAUAACUUAACGCUGUCUAGCUCGUUUGUUUAUAUAUUUCCAAGGCCAAAAUGUUUCAGUUGGCAUCCUUACUUUUUAGAAUGUGUAGAUAAUUUAACACGUGUGCUUAUAUGUGCCACAGUUAUUGUUCGUGGACUACCAACUUCGGCUUCAUGGCAAGAUUUGAAGGUAAGAAGUUAAUAAGAUAAGUUACUUGAGUUGAUGCUAGAAUCCCCCUAGUAGAUAUUGUUAAUCAAAUUUUAAAUUAUUUUCAGGAUCACAUGAGGAAAGCUGGUGAUGUGUCCUUCGCUGAAAUUUCUCGUGACAGAGAGGGUAUUCAUUGUUUAAAUAAAAUGUACUUUUAUUUGGGUGGUCAAAUUCUAUCUUUCUCGUUAGUUUCCUGGAUUAUUGAUAUUUUCAAUAUCGAGGACAGUGAUUACUAGGUGUAAGAUAGCAGAUAUUAGUAGAUCGUAUUGACAUUUGGCGCCGCAUGAGCCUUGUGUUCACUUGACAUCAAUUUUAUAUUUUCUAGUCAUCCUUACCAUGAAUAUAUUUUUGGGAAUUCUGAAGCAGGUGAUUAGAGGAAUUAAGCCAAGCACAUGCUGAUUAGUAUUCUGUUGUUCUGGGUAGAGCUUUAUGGAUCUGAUGUCCAGAUCUUUGUUUCGAUCUUAGUUUUCGUCAUAGGAAACUAUGGGUUUUCAUUUUAGAUGACCAUAUUUGUAAUAUGUUUGCCCUUGCUGACUGACUAUGUAUGAGUUGUAUUCUAAAGAUAGGAGGUUAGGGUUGAAUAUGUUAAAUUUUGUGUUGAUUACAAAAGAAACUAAUCCCUUUUGCUUGAUUAAAUAGUGCAAGUUUUCUUAGAGUGGCGUGAAGGUUAAAUGGGGGUCAUAUUGAGCAUGUUUUAGAGUGAAAACAAGUCAUAUUGUAUGUUUUGUAAUCUUGUUAAAACAGCUCUUUCUAUGGGAAAUAUGCUCUGUCUGCUACAUGGCGCGUCUCUUGGACUGCUAAAAAUGUAAAAGAAGGGUCAUUUUGGAACUUUAGUACCAAGAAACUGGAACUAUGCUUGUUUAUAUAGCAUGGAGGGAACUAAGGAUUACAAUAUUUAUCCUUGUAUAUGUUUUACAUAAGCUUAAUCGAGUGUUAUAAUUGUUUUGGUUAUGCUCUUGGUUAAAUAUUGCACUUUCGCCUGUUAAGCAAUUUAGAAGCAGUAUACUUGUGCAUUUUGUUUGGCAUUCUUGUGCUGGUGGUUUUUGUUUCUAUAGUUCUAUCUUUAUCAUAGAUUGGAUUAUUUUAUUAUGUAAUACAAAAUCUUACUCAUGAGUUGUGAGAUAUAAUUUUUCUAAACGGGCACUUCCCACUUCCCAGUAGUUCAGGGAUUAAGAUACAACAAUUAACACACGUAUGCAGAGCUAUAUUCAGAUUUCCAAAUAUACUAGUUUGACUUUCGCAUUGUUGCUUUUCAGUCUUUUCAUGAUCAUUGUAUUGUUGUAUACAGGCACCUUUGGUCUGGUUGAUUUCACAAAUUAUGAAGACAUGAAAUAUGCUGUAAGUUGCUGAUCUUUUUAAUAUUUAAGCAUAGUUUAUUUCCAUGAACAUGGCCAGCCCCAGCUAUAAUGAUUUUCAUUUAUGAAUUCAGAUUAAGAAACUUGAUGACACCGAGUUUAAAAAUCCGUGGACAAAAACCUAUAUCCGGGUAAUACUCAUUCCGGUAUUUGUAUCUAGUGUGAUUUCAUACUUUCCUAAUAUAUUAAUAGAUUUUUGAAUAGUGCCUCAUACUCAUUGCAGAUUUCUGUAGUUCAUGAAAAAAGUGUAUAGCAUCUACACAUGUACUUUUGUGUUGGUUUAAUCCUCUGAUCGUUGCUUGUUAAAUAUGACAAACAAAUUUCUAAAUUUACAGGAUGGUGCUCAGCUAAUGGGCCAAAUCAAAGUCAGCACCCUAAAAGGAUAGGAUCUAUUAGGAUGUUUCUACAUCCAAGCUUUCUUGCUUUGGCCUCGUGGAUACUGGGGGACACACCUACGGAAAAUAUACAUAGGAUAGUGCAUAUGUAAUGCAUGCCUAGUCGAAUAUCUUAAUUUAUGUAGCUAUCUAUAUAUUAAUUUAAAAAACCUCAAAAUAAACUAAUAUAUAGAUAAAAGAUAAGUACAUAAACUAAGAUAUUUGAAUAGGCAUGUGUAGUCGAUGCCUCUAACCUCUCAUUGCCAAGGAAACAGAAGUAGAGAAGUAUAUAAUAGAAUAUAAAUCGAGAUUUAAUAUUUUGGUUUUCAGCUCUUCAAUUAGACCAUUGAAUUCCUGCAGACACAACAGCAGUUUGGCUGAUACUUAAUAUUUUCAUACAUUAGAAGGGCAAUUUUCACUCGCUUAACAACUUAUGUGGGUCUGCUACUGAUUCUUGCAAUUACAGGCCCCAACUUAAUUUCAUGUUACUCCAAAGUAGAAGCCUGGAACAUUUAAUUAUAACAUCAGAAAGAUAACUAAAUUUUUGAUAGUUAAAUGAAAUCCACUGAAUGACGUGAAAAGUAAAUUAUUUCUAACAUAUUACAUUUUUUUGGACACUUCCGUUUAAAGCUGAUACCUUGGCUCAUAACAAGAAUGUGUGAAUUGUUUCUGAUCUAAAAGCCUUUGAUUUGAUUGUAUUCCGAGUUCAGGUUAGCAAGUUUGACCGCAGUCCAUCAAGAUCAAGAAGCCGAAGUAGGAGCCGGAGUAGGAGUAGAAGCUUAAGAAGGGAUAGGAGGUAAGCCUCUGUCAAUACUUUGUAUACGUCCUGCAGAAUACUUGUUCAACUAAAAUUAAACUGUUUAAUUCUGCAGCAAAUCUGUGGACCGGUCUGUCUCGAGGUCACCUUCUAAGUCUAGAUCUGCAUCUCCUGUGAAAUCGACCAGGGCAGCAUCUCCUGUAAAAUCUACCAGGGCAGCAUCUCCUGUCAAAUCAUCCAGGUCAUAAUCUCUUAUAUGAUUAAGUUUUUGCUCCUUCCCCAUUAUCUUAAUUUUUUAAGUUUUAUGUUUCUAAUUAUGAUAUAUGCAGGCCUAGGUCAAGAUCCUUAUCCGCUUCCCCAAAACAGGUGAACCUUUUGUUAAGUGGUUGACAUACAUGUGUUCAGUCUAGUCACUCUAGUCGAUCAGAAAUAAUGAGUUCUAAUUGAGGUUGAAUGUUGUAGUGCAAGCAUUAGGAGUUCUUGUAAAGAUCCCUUUCUGCAUAUCAUUCUCAUCUUGUUUUACUUCGUCUCCUUAAAUGUUAUUGUAACCUAAUAGUACUUCACUACACACUUCUGUCCUGCUCUAAAGUUUCUGCUGAAGUGAGAGAUCUAAAAAUUUGGAUAUCUUAGAGGAGAAAAAUAAUGGAUGGAUGAAUCCAGAUGUUCUAGUCUUUAAUUUGUAAUUUAAUACAUAAAGAACUUUUGGUGUGUUGGUGCUUUUUCCUGGUGUGUCGAUAUAGGGUGCUGGCCUAUAUGAAAUUCCUUUCCUGCUAGGUAAUCGUACGUUUUACAGUAAUGAAUUUAGGCUAUCUGAAAGUAUUGAUUAGCAUCAAAUAUGAAUUACUAUUGCACUAAUAAACAAUGAAUUUGUAUAUUUUUAUAUUAAAAUUAUGUGUUCUCAUUGGAGAUAUGGGUCCAUUUCAGGUGCGAUCAGGAAGUGCUUGAUACUCUUGCCAGAUAAUCGAAUGUCCAGUGAUGCUUGAAAGGGAGUGUUUGAUAGGAUUCUUAUUGGAAGGAACCCUUGUGUUUAGAGUUUUAUAUUUCUUGAUGAGAAUUAUGAAUUUUAGAAAGCUAAACCUUUUUAUCAUUAAUGUGUUGUAAACUAUUUACGUUAGUAUGGAUUCCAACUUUGAGUCUAGAGGUCAUCUCUGCAUUGCUUCAUUAUUCGAACUUUUUCGAUCAGGGUGUAACCUGGGAGUAAAAUUCUAGUUUUUAAGGCUGAAGACCUGACCAAGGGUAUAUACCUUGUAUGUGUAACCCUUUAUUUUAUGUAGACUAAGAUGGAUGACCCUACUUCCUAAAGUAUGUUUGGAAUGUGUCACCUGAGGCAGAGGCUUGUUGUGUAAAAAAAUUUAAGGAACCUUUGAAGAUGCUGAUUGUCUGAUUAUAAGUUUUGUUUCUGCUUUAGCUUCUAAAACGUGUUUUUGUUCCAAAAAGUGCGUUUAUUAUUCUUGUAAAGGCCUGGGAGUGCUUUUGUUUUUUCGGAUGAAUACCGGUUCGGGCCAAAAUCUCGGAUUUCUCUCCACGGAUUGUUUGAGACUGGGUUGAAUCAUUUGUCAUGAGGCUUGAUUUGUAAUGAAUAGGGUUUGGGCCAAAAACUUCCUAAGUAUGUGAAUGUUAACCAAACAAUCACCUAGAAUGUUCUCGGAAUUAGGAGAGUAUAAUGGGGCUCACUAGGUUGAUAUGACAAGCAGGUUUCAAUGAUCAAGUAUCUAACUGAACACCAACUUUGUGUAAAGUGGCCUGGCUGCAUAACGAGAUUCAGUUUGGAAAUUGCCUCACUUGUAGUGUGUGAUUGUGUGCUAAGUGCCAACUCUGAUUUGCUAUUUGAAGAUGCACAAAAGUCAUGAGAAUGAGCUAUAUAUCAUCUUUAUUCUGUAACUAUUUAUAGAAUAAUAUAACUGACAAUCAACAAACUACUGAAGCAGCAAUAAAUAUAUAUGAUAACGGUUUUUCUAGUGUGUGUCCAUGGGCACAUGCGAAGCGCGGAAUUUGAUAAGUUUGAGAGAUUUUGAUUGGCUCUCAUAACUUAAUAACGGUGGAUCCCCUGCAAAUAUAUCAACCACACCAAUCAAAAUCUCCAAAACAUAUCAAAUUCCGCGCUUAGCAUGUGCCUAUGGGCACACACUAGAAAAACCCUUGUAAUUAUAUACCUCUUUAUAAGCGGAACUUGAAAAACAAGGAAAAAAAGCUACUACAUCCAUGUUUAUAUGUUUUUCUCUAGGAAAUUUUUAUAUCCGAGUACAAUCACUUAAAAAAAUGGGUACGGGUCUCCGACAUACGUGUGUUGGUAGGAGAAAAAAAAAAGCUCAACGGCUUAACGCAAAAUUUUUUAUGAAUAUAACAAGUUCUUUGUAGACCACAAAAAAACUGGAGUAUCGGAGACCACAUCUCAGCCAUCAAUUUAUUAUAAUCCAACGGUUAUCAUAUUUCUGUUUAUUUUUAAAAAAAUAUUUAUUUAUUAACAAUACACACAAAAAUACGUUUGAUGUAUACGGUACUAACGGCUUGUUAGGGACGGUUACUCGUAUGCUGAACGUACGCUCUGCAGUUAUGGCAGUUUGUUUUGCGUAUCACCGUGCAAUACCUCUCUGUUCUCUAAUUACGGACCUCAUAAUUCUCAGCCAUAACAGAAUUGUUCCUCUGGUCAAUUCAUUGUGCGUGUGUAGUUGUCAUGGUUAGUGUUCGAGAGGCAGGUAUGUAGUGUCCAUUAGAGUUUAAGUCCAUUUACUUGUUACUCUACUUUUGAUUUUUUAUCAAACUGAUUUUCAAUCCCUUUGUUCCGUUAAAGUAUUAAUGUUGUUUCUUUAGCUUAUUUAUGUUGCUCUUCUCAUGUUCGAUGAUAUGUCUCAACAAGUUCUGCAUUUGUCCUUCUAAACAUUAUGCGGGAUGCUUUUGCUUGUGCGUUGUGCUGCUGAUAUCGACGCGGUUUAUAAGAUGUUAUCUCCGAGAAUCGUUCUGCAAAAAUCGUGCUGCAAUGAUCUUCGGAUUCAUGGAUAGUUAUUGUUUUGUAACUGCGGUAUUUUCGUGAGUGGGUUGCGGGAUGCUAAUCCCGUAUUAUACGUCUAUGUCUACAAAACAUACGGUACUUUUAGAGCGUACAAGUGCUGUUAUUUAAAUUUUAAAAACUGCUUAGACAAUCUCAGCCGUGCAACAAAUUUGUAAUCCAAUGGUGGAUUAGAUGGUCUUAGAAGUCUAAGGAAAUAAUAGUCCCCCACUGAACCCAACUCAUGUUAAAUAUCAUUUAGCAUAUCGUUCUUUUUCGCCGGUAAUAUUAUUCAAAUGCUUUUAUCGGUUGCCAAAAAAUGAUUAUGGGUCCAGUUGAAAACAUUUCUAGCCGAUCAAAACCAUCUCAAAAACGUGUCUCUAACUGUCUACACACCGGACUGCCCCCACACGCCUUAACAGCCUAACUCCAACUUUGAACUAAAGAAAAUGAAAUCUCAACUCCCCGAAAUUUCCUCUGCUUUCUACUCUGUAUAUAAUAUAUAUACAAGUCCCAGCUCCCAACUUUUAAAAUCAUUUCUCAUAUUUUCAUUCAAAUCUUUAAUAUUCUCCAGAAAUUCAUCAGGUACAAGCUAGCACGAUGCUCAUGUCGAUGUUGAGUUCAUUUGAUGCUCUGUUUGCCGAGUCGUUUGGCCACAAAGUUGGCUUUUCAUGGCCACUUUUAUCAGCUAAAGAUGUCCAGCCUUCGGAAAAUAAAAUGCAAUCGUCUAGUGGUAAUUUUGCGGAUAAAUUUAUCGCUAAGAAGUUGCCGGAAAAUCAAGAAGUGCAGCAGAAGACGAGGAAGAUAGCAAGUACUAGGUUUGCUCCGGAGCUGGACGGAGUGCAUUUUUUUGAAACUAUUAUUCCUUAUUGACUUGUCAGCCGGAACUCAAAAUGUAAACAAUAUUUUAUUUUAUAUUUGGAGAUCGGAUUGGAAAAUAUAUGUUCUCUGUAGCGUUACGUUGUAGUGUAUACGAGAUUCGUAUUUUCUUAAUAUAAUUACUUUGAAAUUAUUAGAAUGUAUUGAAUGAUCUUCCCAAAAUCGAUAGAUUGAAAUGAUAUUAAAUAUUUCUGUAAUAUAAAAUUUGUUAAACCUUGCUUAUGAUAGUCGGCUAUAUUAAAAAAUAAUAUAGUAGUAUUUUAAUAUGAUAACAAAUAGGGUUUAAAUCUUUCUCUAGUAGAGAUAUUUGACUGAACGAAUUAUUGUAUUUAAUUAUAUUUUGUAAAAGUAUCGUGUAAGGAUCCUUAGUAAUUAUUAAGUUCGAUUGUUAAAAGUCACUCCUUUCUUCCAAAAAAACCCUAAUUCUCUCUAGCCUUUCUAUUGUCGUAGCCGCCUGGGGCUUCCAUCGGUUUUCACCGGUGGAAAGCCCCGAAUCAGUUAACUACUUUAUUUUAUUCUUAGUUUUUGAAUAAUACUUCUUCUCGAGAAAUUUAGAUCCAGAGCCAUCGGAGAUUUCGUUAUCUCUCUUCCAAGCGGGUGAGUUGCAGUCCGAUUUUUCUUGUUUUUGUGGUUCUGCUCCAGAUCUAUUCUCAGGGGAUUCUUAGAUCUAAAACCAUCGGAGAUUUCGCUGGAUUUCUCCUCUAUUUCAAGUGGGUGGAUUUUCAGUCGGAUUCCUCUUGUUUCUGUGGUUUCAUCUAAGGUUGUUUUCACUCCCUGGUGAGAGCUUUGUUUUUCGCUUCUUAAUUGUAAGCGGGGUUUGAUUUGGUGAUGAAAGUUUGUAUGGAAUCGCAGUUCUGGUCGAUAGCUCAAACGAUAGCUCUAUCGGGGCAUGAUGAAGAGGGUACCAGUAAUUCAACGAGAAUGCAUGAAGCGGGUACUUGUAUUUGUACAUACAUUUUCUUCAAAAUAUCGUUUAACUGUCUCUUUGUGAGAACAGGCGAUUGCAAUUUACUGUUUGUUCGACUCGAUCAUUGGUGUAGAUGCCGUAUGACCUUUUAUUAUUAGAUUAACACCUUUGUUUCAAAAAAAAAAAAAAAUGUAAGGAUCCUUAGUACGUGUCUAGAGAAAUAAUGAUAUCCAACUAUAUAUUUUUAAGUGUCAUAUAAGGUUGAUACUCGUUAAGGUUUACAUCAGCGAAGCUCUAUUAAUAUACAGACGAUCUGAUGCGCGACCUUAGAAUCCGCAACUGAUUUCUUACUUUGUAUCAAGUGGCCUGACUAUAAACUCAGUUCGAAAGUGAGCUUCACAUGUAUUUUUCUCUUGGUUGUUUCUCAUGAAUUUGUUCAAAAGUCAUCAGCGGUUGGUCACUUCCAGUUCUUCACACUCGAUUCUCGUUUGGUUACCGGAAGAUGUGUACGCCCUCCGUAUCAUUUAUUUAUAUAUAUUUUUUUCACUAAAUCAGUCCUGGUGGAAACGGAGCGAUCCAAAGGGUCACGGGUUCGAACCUCAUCAGCUCCCGGGCGUUAGUCCGAUUUACCUACCUGUGUUGGCUAUGGAGCUAGUCGGCAGAUUCUUAGGAAAAAAAUCUAUAUAUUUUUUUCACUAAAUCGCGGUUCGACACAUAUUUUAAUAUUUCUAUAAAAUGUAGUUCUAAUACUUAUUUUAAUUUUUUUUCUUUAAACAAAAUUUAAUAAUAUUAUAAUAUUUUCAUUAAAAUAUAUAUAAUUGAAGGGUACGGUUGAACUACUGCAAGUAUAUAAGCCUAAGCCUGCUCAAAGGAAUUAUUUUUUAGAAAAAAAACUUCGGUGCAGACGGUCUACGCGGAUUGGACCGGCAGUCUUUGAUGAUUCAAGUGCCAAACCCCACACGCCUAAGUCCAACUUUGAACUACAUAUGUCAACUCCUAGAAAUUUCCUUUCCUCGUGUAUAUAAAAAAGUCCCAAGGCCCUUACUCUCAAAUCAUUACACAACACAAUCUACUAUCUCAUUCAAAUCUUCAAAAUCCGAAGGAAAAAUAACAUAGUUUUACAAAGGCAGCAGGAUGGUAAUGUCAAUGUUCAGUUCAUUUGAUGCUCUCUUUGCAGAAUCAUUUGCCCAGAAAGUUGGGUUUUCUUGGCCUGUUGUGUCGACUAAAGAAAGCCAGACUUCUUCGUCGUUUCUAGAUAAUUCUGCAGAUAAAUUUAUCGGUAAAAAGAUGUCGGAAAAUCAACAAGUGCAGCAGAAAAGGAGCAAGACAACAAGUACUAGAUUUGCGCCAGAGUUGGAUGGAGUUCAUUGUUUCGAGACCAUUAUUCGAUAUUGAUAUGUCAAGCUCUAUGUAAUUUUGUGUAUGCUUGUACACCAUCUGUCUGUAUUAAUAUUCAUUCUUUUCUCUCAAUUUAGAUCCGCUCUUGUUGAUUUUUUACUGACUUUUAAUUAUAUAAGCGGCUAUGAUCUUCGCUUUUAAGCUUGAAUAUGAUUACAAAUUCAGAAUUUCUUUUCUUUCUUUCUUUUUAAAUCUGGCUUGCUCUGUCUUCAAGUGAUCAGAUCGUAUACGUGUUCAGAUAAAUUAAAUGUACCAAUACUUUUGAAGUUUUUGAAAGUUAAUUUCUAAUGCAA
rnacentral:lncRNA from 1 species